rnacentral:lncRNA from 13 species
GCUCUUCAGUCAGCUUUUGGUAAAUGCUGCCAUGUCUGGGACUCUCUCUUCAGAGCCGUGGACAGCUCCGAGGCACUAUUCACACAGAGUCUGAACUGCACCACCGUAUGAGGCAUCCCUGACUGUACAAACAAUGACCUCUGAGGAUGUGAUACCUGGAGCUAUGGCAGCCACACUGCAAUUAGGAGGUGACAAACCUGGAGACAAACGCCAACAUGCAUAUGAUGACGGCAAACACAAAAAAGAGCUUGGGUCCUUGAUGACAUGAUUGUGCUGCUCAACUAACCUUGAAACUACCUGCACUUACAUCGAUAUUAAAGACAUAUUACAUGACCUCAUGCUUUCAGCUGCUGUCAGAUAUUCUGUUCCUUGAGGCCAAAUACAUUCUAACAGAUACAAUCUAGACAGAGAAAGAUGUUUUCCCAGAGUUUCAGCAAAAACAGAUGAUGUGUAGGUUAUGAAGAUUUUAUCCAGGAAUCCAUUGGUAUAGGUAGUAGUUCAGAAAAAAAAUACUCCAAGUUUUGUCUCAGAUAUGGGUAAAUCUGAGCCACCCACAUGGUGUCUGUGCCGAAUAUUCUCCCCUCAGAUGCACUAUUUCCUCUUCUGAUAUAGCUGACUGAUAAUAACUAUAUCAAAAGGCUCCCUUGCCCUCUGGCUGCUGGUUGGACUUGGCCAUUGGCAUGUACCAGCAGGAGACUGGAGGGGGAUGGCGAAUUAGACAUAAACCUCCCAGCUCCUUCGAUGGGUGAUUACUUAGGC